rnacentral:rRNA from 1 species
AACGAACGCUGGCGGCAUGCCUAACACAUGCAAGUCGAACGAGACCUUCGGGUCUAGUGGCGCACGGGUGCGUAACGCGUGGGAACCUGCCCUUAGGUUCGGAAUCACUCCCCGAAAGGGGUGCUAAUACCGGAUAAUGUCUUCGGACCAAAGAUUUAUCGCCUUUGGAUGGGCCCGCGUUGGAUUAGCCAGUUGGUAGGGUAAAAGCCUACCAAGGCGACGAUCCAUAGCUGGUCUGAGAGGAUGAUCAGCCACACUGGGACUGAGACACGGCCCAGACUCCUACGGGAGGCAGCAGUGGGGAAUAUUGGACAAUGGGCGAAAGCCUGAUCCAGCAAUGCCGCGUGAGUGAUGAAGGCCUUAGGGUUGUAAAGCUCUUUUACCCGGGAUGAUAAUGACAGUACCGGGAGAAUAAGCUCCGGCUAACUCCGUG